rnacentral:Y_RNA from 1 species
GGCUGGUCUGAUGGUAGUGGGUUAUCAGAACUUAUUAAUAUUAGUGUCACUAAAGUUGGUAUACAACCCCCCACUGCUAAAUUUGACUGGCAAAA